rnacentral:rRNA from 1 species
GACGAACGCUGGCGGCGUGCCUAAUACAUGCAAGUAGAACGCUGAAGAGAGGAGCUUGCUCUUCUUGGAUGAGUUGCGAACGGGUGAGUAACGCGUAGGUAACCUGCCUGGUAGCGGGGGAUAACUAUUGGAAACGAUAGCUAAUACCGCAUGAAAUGGAUUAUCGCAUGAUAAUUCAUUGAAAGGUGCAAAUGCAUCACUACCAGAUGGACCUGCGUUGUAUUAGCUAGUUGGUGGGGUAACGGCUCACCAAGGCGACGAUACAUAGCCGACCUGAGAGGGUGAUCGGCCACACUGGGACUGAGACACGGCCCAGACUCCUACGGGAGGCAGCAGUAGGGAAUCUUCGGCAAUGGACGGAAGUCUGACCGAGCAACGCCGCGUGAGUGAAGAAGGUUUUCGGAUCGUAAAGCUCUGUUGUAAGAGAAGAACGAGUGUGAGAGUGGAAAGUUCACACUGUGACGGUAUCUUACCAGAAAGGGACGGCUAACUACGUGCCAGCAGCCGCGGUAAUACGUAGGUCCCGAGCGUUGUCCGGAUUUAUUGGGCGUAAAGCGAGCGCAGGCGGGUUAGAUAAGUCUGAAGUUAAAGGCUGUGGCUUAACCAUAGUACGCUUUGGGAACUGUUUAACUUGAGUGCAAGAGGGGAGAGUGGAAUUCCAUGUGUAGCAUGGAAAUGCU